GUGUAGUCAGUGGAUAGAAAACAUGCAGACAAGAAUUGAUUUUAUUUGUACGCACCAAGUGUACUGCUAGCGAUUCUGCUAAAAAAAUAGUAUGACUUUGAAUUCCGUUAAGGGGAAUGUCACAGAAAUUCAAGGAUUAUCUAAUGUUUUAAAUCGUCUGACUGCUAGUUGUUCCUAUCGAUGUUUAUCGUUCGAAACGGCUGGAAUAAACAUGAAUGGCGCAACACUUGGUUUAGCUGAAAUGAGGUGUUUAGACCGCUGUGUUUCCAAA